rnacentral:rRNA from 1 species
GUCUAUGGCCAUGCUACCCUGAACAAGCCCGAGCCCAUCUGAUCUCAGAAGCUAAGCAAGGUCGGGCCGAUUACUACUUGGAUAGGAGACCACCUAGGAAGACCAGGUGCUGUAGGCG